AGCUUGCUGGGCGGAUUAGUGGCGAACGGGUGAGUAAUACGUGAGUAACCUGCCCUUGACUCUGGGAUAAGCCUGGGAAACUGGGUCUAAUACUGGAUACUACCGUUCACCGCAUGGUGGGUGGUGGAAAGGGUUUUACUGGUUUUGGAUGGGCUCACGGCCUAUCAGCUUGUUGGUGGGGUAAUGGCUCACCAAGGCGACGACGGGUAGCCGGCCUGAGAGGGUGACCGGCCACACUGGGACUGAGACACGGCCCACACUCCUACGGCAGGCAGCAGUGGGGAAUAUUGCACAAUGGGCGGAAGCCUGAUGCAGCGACGCCGCGUGAGGGAUGACGGCCUUCGGGUUGUAAACCUCUUUCAGUAGGGAAGAAGCGAAAGUGACGGUACCUGCAGAAGAAGCGCCGGCUAACUACGUGCCAGCAGCCGCGGUAAUACGUAGGGCGCAAGCGUUGUCCGGAAUUAUUGGGCGUAAGAGCUCGUAGGCGGUUUGUCGCGUCUGCUGUGAAAGCCCGGGGCUCAACCCCGGNUCUGCAGUGGGUACGGGCAGACUAGAGUGCAGUAGGGGAACUGGAAUUCCUGGUGAGCGGUGAAUGCGCAGAUUCAGGAGGAACACCGAUGGCGAAGGAGGUCUCUGGGCUGUUACUGACGCUGAGGACGAAAGCAUGGGGA
rnacentral:rRNA from 1 species